rnacentral:rRNA from 1 species
AGAGAGAGACAUGCGCGCAUAUCAAUAAGCGGAGGAAAAGAAACUAACAAGGAUUCCCUUAGUAACGGCGAGUGAAGCGGGAAGAGCUCAAAUCUGAAAUCUUCAAGGUUCUACCUUGACGAAUUGUAGUUUAAAGAAGUGUUUUCUGCUAGUGGAGUGGCAAAAGUUCUCUGGAAUAGGACAUCAUAGAGGGUGAGAAUCCCGUAUUUGGUCAUUCCUCCUAGCGUUGUGAUACACUUUCAACGAGUCGGAUUGUUUGGGAAUGCAGUCCAAAAUGGGUGGUAAAUUUCAUCUAAAGCUAAAUAUUGGCGAGAGACCGAUAGCGAACAAGUACCGUGAGGGAAAGAUGAAAAGAACUUUGAAAAGAGAGUUAAACAGUACGUGAAAUUGUCAAAAGGGAAGCGUUUGACACCAGUGUUGUUUUUCCGAAAAUCAAUUACGAAUGUUUUGUUUUUGAGGAGUUAUGACUUCAUCGGCUUGCUCCUUUCUUUACGAAACUUUCUUAAUGCACUUUUCGGUUAACAAGUCAACAUCAAUUUCUUUUGUUGUAAAAGGGUAUGAGGAAGGUGGCUUUCUUUUCGGAGAAAGUGUUUAUAGCCUUGUGCCUCUGCAAUCGGAGAGAUUGAGGUCUGCAGCGUAGAUCCUCCGGGGUUAGAUACGUUUGUGCUAAGUUAUAGCUUUUCAUAGACAACUUGUUGACUAUGUUUAGUCUUGUAGCUUACUCGCUGACGCUAUUUUACCUACGCUUAGGAUGUUGAUAGUCACAGCGUGUAC